rnacentral:rRNA from 1 species
AAAAAAACUCGCUAUUCUCAAAAAAGAAAAAAGAAAAACUCGCUGUUCUUGCUCUCGGCCGGCUGUACUGCUGCUGCUCCUUGAGCUCUCCGCCCUCUCCCGGUCUCCCCAAUCGCCCCGCCGCCGCGGCCUCCUUGCUGCCUGCGUCCGCUUCCGACCUUCCGUGCUCCGUCUUCUCCUCGUCUUCCCCGCUCCCACCUCCGCGCUGCCCUCGAGGAUGGAAGAGCCGCUGCGGUACAAGUUCGGGCCGUAUAAGAUUGACGCGAGGGAGGUCUUCCACGCCACGCCCCUCACCUACGCCAUGGUCAACCUCCGCCCCCUCCUCCCUGGUCAUGUGCUCGUGUGCCCCAAACGUGAGGUGAAACGAUUUGCUGAUCUAAGUUCUGAUGAGACUAGUGAUUUGUGGGUAACUGCAAAAGAAGUUGGUGCAAAGCUCGAGCAGUACCACAAAGCUUCUUCCAUCACAUUCGCGAUUCAGGAUGGUCCUCAGGCUGGCCAAACAGUUGCCCAUGUCCACAUCCACGUCAUCCCCAGGAAGAAAGGAGAUUUUGAGAAAAACGAUGAAAUAUAUGAUGCGAUUGACGUGAAAGAGAAGGAAAUGAAGGAGAAGCUUGACCUGGACGUCGAAAGAAAAGAUAGAAGCAUGGAAGAAAUGGCUCAUGAGGCCACCGAGUACCGCGCUCUUUUCUCCUAGCCAGAUAGAUGUAUUUCUGAUGAACUCUCUAAUUAUCAUCCGCUGCCACUCUUGCCUAAAAUAAGCCUUGUGACUGCUUGUCCUUGAUUGCGCGGUGUGGCUCUUAUUCUCCACGGACCUGGUAGCGUCCAGUCCAAAUCUGAUGUGCUGGUAUCGCUUCGUCGUAAGAAUCUACCGCACAUCUGAUGUAGUGGUAUCAGGAGAUCACUUGUUCGUCGUAAGAAUAUAUCGCACUGGUCAUUCUCCCUUGUGUGCCAAUCGAAUUUAUUUCCCCAAUGAUUUUCGUUUUGGAGAAUAAAGGGAAGGAAAAGAUUUGAUAUUUGAUUGGAAAAAGCAGAGGGAGGCUUGAGUGCUAGCCAGAGCUUACUGGCAUUUGAUUGAUGGAGAUUUGGUGCAUAUGUCGUCGUG